rnacentral:lncRNA from 1 species
GAUAACCAUAUCGUGCUAUACAUCUGUAGACGCGGUACUCUUUUGGUCCAAUUCUUCCCACCAAGAACCUUUCUUCAGGUCUCACGUGAGGUACUGGUACGGACUUGACACAAAGGAAAACAAGAACCUGGUGGAAAGCAGGUAGGUUGGUGACGAAAUGUGAGAAAAUUGCUGGAAUUCCUGAAACAAGCUCGGUGUGGAUGAGGCCAAUGCCACGGACCCGUGUAAUACCCAGGUUGGGACUCAAGGUGAGCAGCCAGUUGAUGGGAAUUUUGUUUUCAACAUCAAACUCGUACUUUUUCAGGGUGCCAUAAUGCCAACUGUACAUGACGACUAGAAAUAUCAAAGAGAGAACAAUCGGUACCCAGGCCCCUUCGAGGAACUUGAUUAGGGAAGCUGAAAAGUAGAGGGCUUCAAUGGAACCAAAGAAGAAUAUAAAGCAAAUGGCAAGUAACACGUUUUUGUGCCAGCAGAGGACAAUGACUAGAGACAUAAAGCACGUAGUGACCAGCAUAACAGUUAUAACUGCCAGACCUGCAAGAGAAAAAGGUUGCACUGUAACAAAUACGCGUAGUGAUUUCAAACAAAAUUUAGUCCUACACUUUCUCAGCCUUUUGGCUAAGAUCGAGGGAAUUUCAAUAAAUUCAGUUUACAUUUAAAACUGUUCAAUUGCCUGAUGCACAAAAUGAUAACUGCAAGUUGCGAUUAUCUGGUGAAUAUUUAUUUUGGUACACCUAAAGUUCAAUUGUAGUCUGUCUAUAACAUUUUCUAUGAGGUUGAGAGUUAAUUAACUUCCUCUCAGUAUCAGAAAUAACACGUGCACAUUUGGAAGAUCGUCUUUUUACAUUAUGUGGCUUGCAACUUAUCCUUGCAUUUUUCCCUAUUAAUAGUAAAGUAUAACUAAUCAAGAGGUUAUAUUAUUAUAAUAAACUACCAAGAUCAAUUUGAGAUCAGAAAAUAUCAGGAAAAAUGAAUUUUCUAUUCUACCCACUGAUGUGUUAAAAGAGAGUUAUGUUCCAAUCAGAAAAGAAAAGGAGGAAUAUGUAAUAAAACGUGAAACUUAAUCAGGCUUUUAUAUAACAGACUCAGAAUCCUUUAGUGACUUCAUGGACAAUGCAUAUUAUUUGGCUGUUAAUGAUACCUGAUGCGUUGCUUAUGUGUUUCGUGUCACGGAAGCCAAUAGUAACUGCCAAGCAUAGCAACAUCAACGUCCAGUUUAUCUCUGGAAUGUAAAUCUGGCCAUGGAUUUUGGACGAUGUAUGUACUAUUUUGACCCUUGGGAAGCAACCCAAAGCAGAACAUUGCUUGAUUAUAGAAAACGUCCCAGUGAUGAUGGCCUGGCUUCCAACCACUGCAGCAAGUAUAGCAAUAGCCAGAACAGGAUACCGCAGUUUUUCUGGGACAAUGAUGAACAUAUAAAUUAGUUGAAAUGUUUAAACUAGAUAUACAUGCUGCAUUCAAAUGCACGAAGAGAAAAAGGAAAGAAAAAAAGAGAGAAUGUAGCGAAGAGAGGAGCAAAGUACUUACCAGGUACUGAUACAUAGAACCCGAUGUGGUAAUCACCUUGGAUAACAUGAUGCUUGGAAAGAUACGCAGCUUGUCCCAUAUAAGCAAGAAUUAAUGAUGGGUAAACAACAAACGUAAAAGCUAUCUGCAGAGAAGCAGCUCUUAUUGGGACUUGGUUGAAUUUGCAGUUGCCAACGUAAAGCAUUUUAACUCCGUACCUCUACAAGGAACUUUAUUCACAUUGAACAAAACAUCUGCAGAUAAUCUCAGUUUGACAAUAAACACUCCAACACACAUUAGCUCAGUAUCUUACAAAAUGUGUGGUACACAUUUGACAGCUCUCAUAUGAAGCAUAGUUCAUCUCAGGAUACUGCUCUCAAGCAUGCCGAGGCAGCUUACUAAGCUAAGAUGACUAGAUUUGACCAAUCUUUUUCGAGAAAGUAAAGCUGGAAAGACUUGAGAACAUGAGUGAGUCAGUCCAAGGAAAUUUUGGAAAAUUUGAAGUGAUCAAAAGCAUCUAGAUGUUAUCCGACUUAGAUUAGGAGAGCAGAGAUUUGCAGGUAUGACUACCUAGCAUACAUCUAUUCAAGUUUUGCUAAUUCCUCAGUCACCUUGCAAUAAAUUAAAUGUUGUGCACCAGUUUGUCUAUCAAUGCUCCUCAUUGCAGUAUUUAACACAAGUUCAAGAAACUGAUACAAAACCAUUCAGUGCCAAUAUUUCUGGAAUGGGCAAAAGGGAAAGAGUGCCAAACAUACGAGGACAGAAGGAGUAAUAUGAAAGAUGGGUCAAAUAAUUAAGAGUAGUAACUUUAAGUCACAGCUGAAUGCUAAUUCAUUGUGUUCAUUUAACCUAGUAAAUACCAGUUACAUGCUUGAUUGAACAGUCUCUAUCUGAAAAGUUAGUCUUACAAUAAUAAGCUUCAAGAGUUGCAUAACAAAAUUACUUGAGUUAUUUACCUGAAUAGACAGCUGGGAAAAGUGUCCAAGAUCAGCAAACAUAGCUUCUGAACCUGAAAGUUGGACAAGCAAAGAGAGUAUAAAAUUAACUAGGAAGAAAGAAGGCCCAUCCACUGUUAAAAGAAUAGGUCAUAUGCCAAGAAAUGUCAAAUUCCCACCAAAAAUAUCAAGAGAACAAAUUUCACAUAAAGGAAUGCCGUACCUGUUAUACAUAAUAAAAUCCCACCCAGGGACAUCCAUCCUCCUCUUUGGGUCUUCUUUAAGAAUUUGUACAUGUAGUAUGGAGAUAAUGCUUGAUAAACAUGAGGGUUCCAGUGGAAGAUGUUGUACAGCCCAAUUGCACUAAUGCAAAAAAGCCAUGUAAUCACAAUAGGUGCAAAUAGAAAUCCUAUUCGAUGUGUCCCAUAGUGCUGGAGAAAAAAUAAGAACACAAGUAUCACACAAGCAACUGGAACUUCUACAUCUGCAGGGUAAAGAAAUAAUUCAGCACAUUAUUCAUUAGUUCCACAGUUGUUGUUUCUUGUUUCAACAAAAAAAUAAGGAUCUCGUGUUAAUAUGAUAUGAGGACAAUACUAACUAAUGACAUCAUCUUAACAGGCAAAACUAGAAUUCAGCAAUUAUAGAAACAAAAUAAGUUAGCUUCUGACUUGCAUAAUUUCAAAAGUUAACCAGAAAAAUCAUGUAAACUCCGAACAAGUUAAGAAAACAUCACAAUUGUAUCAGAUAUUACAGAGAACUACCUGCUGUUUCACUUCGCAAGUAAAUUAUUAAAGGCAAGGAAACAGGCAGACUUUUCACCUUUGGUUCGCUCAUGGACUAUUGAUUUUCUGUAAAUCAUUUAACUAUCAUAGAGGAAUAUAAGUAACCUCAGAAGGAUGUAGUAUGACAGAAAGUUGGAAUUUCAUCCAUACAAUUGAAUGGAACUAUUCUGGAAAUUAUAUGUCUGGUUUGAACCACAUUCUCAGACUACUUCCAAUACAGAAAUCCAUAAGUUAUGGGUAUGAGUCCAUCUUCGAGUAAACUUUUCAACUUACGAGCCAUAGGCAAUAUUUAUAUGAAUAUUAAGAUUUCUUAGCUUAUUUUCCAAACAAUUCCAUAGAUUGGUUAACAUUAUGCUGUCAAAGGGAUAUACUCAAUCAUUUAGGUAAAUAUUUUCUAGAGGACAUUCAUUAUCAUAAUCCACAAUGGUUAAUUGUAUCAAUAAAGGUUGAUGGACUUGAUUCAAGCCUUGUGCAUGUGAACUUAGCCUGGUAUUUAAAUGGAGAAAGGUAUAGGGGCGGGCACAUUAUCCCCGAGUUUCGAAGGCUAUGGUUGGUCCUAUAGGUUGGACCAGAGAGAAUUUUCUCGGUCAUCAAAAAAAAUCUUUUCCUGUGUUAGAAUGUCAGAAUGGUAGAUUGGAUAAAUUAUCCAAACCAGAAGUCAGACGAAAGUAUAAUGUAUAUAUUGGAUAAACUAUCUCUAAAAGCUCACAGGUGUAAGAAAACUUGUCUAAUGCAUUCUCCCAAUAUAUUUUCUUAUUUUCUCACAUUAUAUAUUAUAUCUCAGAUAUGCUUCGUGAUACAAGAACAAACAGAGAGGGCACUUGUCUUUAAGGAGCUCCAAGAGACAUUCAUACUAGUGCCAUAUUUUCUUCCUUUCUAUUUCAACAGAAUAACCAUUUUAUUCAUAAUUUCCAGUAAGUUAAAACAUUAUCCACCACCUCUGCUUUACGAAAUAAAAAAACUAUGUUUCUAAAGUUGAAACCUCACUUUAAAAAUUAGGAUAACAUCAAUGUGGUCUAUGGAGAAAGCACCUAACUUUAUUUCUUUAUUGAUGUUGAUAUGACUUUGAUUACCAUAUACAUUUUGUCUUAAUUUAGUAUUAAGGGACCCACAAUAAUGCAUCUUCAUUAAAUAUUGGUAACCUCUCCAUGUCACAAAUUGCACGACCAUUAGAAAAAGUUUCCAGAAAAGUGAACCAACUUAUUAUAUUAAAUACUCAAGUCUUGUUACAUCUAGCCCAAACACAUCUGAAUAAAGUAGGCAUAAAUCAAAAUAUAAUAAGUUAGAGAAAUCAAGAAAAACUAAAGAUAAUCACUUGAGAUCAGCCAUAAGGAACUGAUCUCUAUCUACCCCAACAGUUCAUUAUGAAACUAUUUCAAAUUAUUAUCUUCCCCAUUUCCCACCCGUAGGAUUAUACGGUAUGUUGUUGUUGUAUCUUCUCGCCUCGGCCAUAAACACUCACUGGUUCUUUUCAUUGAUCAGCCGGCUAGGGUAUCAGAAUAUCAUCUAUUAUUAUUCUUUGGCAUAACAAGGAUGAAAAUCUAUUAACAUAAUGGAAUAAAGCUGUAAAAUAAAAUAGAUAUAACUUUUGAUUCCUCAUCUUAUUCAACAAAGGGGUACGGGCAAGGGGCCAUAAGGGAACAAUAAAUCUGCCAAAAAAAUUUGGACUCACAUUGGUGAUGAUGCUUUGCCAUUGAAAGUUCAAGUCCAGAGACAGCAGAGAAUACUGCAGAUUCAAUGCACCAUAAAUUAAAUAAAAUAGGAAAGGAUUAAUUUAUCAGCAUCACAACAUCUCCAAUCUGGCAGAUAAACCAAGUCUAACACGGAUCAUACACAAAGGCGGAUUCAGAAACUAAAUUCAAUGAGUUCAACCUUUAUAACACGGAUUCAGAACUUGAUAUAUAUUGAAACUUCAGUAAUUUUUACAUAUAUGCUCCGCGUAGAAAAUACCUGAGAUUGCAGGGGUAAGGACUCCAUCACCAAUAACCAUACAAGUCCCAAUCAAAGCUAAAAUGAGCAAAAUUUUCUUCAAAAAUCUGUGUUUCUCAAGAGUUGAUUUCAAGCUCAUUCCAAUCCUAUCAGCUGACAAUUUUCUAUCAUUCUUGUACUCAUAUAAAUCCUCAUCAGCCAAUUGACCAUUAGGCAAAGUACUAACACGGGCAUGACGGCACAAUAAGGAAUACAAAGCAAAAGUCCCACCUUCACCAUUAUCAUCAGCUCGUAAUACUAUGAACACAUAUUUAAGCAAUGGAAUAAGAGUUAAUGUCCAAAACACAAAUGAUAAAACUCCAAAUAUCUCCUCAUUAGACUCUGAAUGAUGAAUAUCCUCUGCAAAUGUGCUCUUGUAUACAUAUAAAGGUGAAGUACUCAAAUCUCCAUACACCACACCUAAACUCUGAUAAGCUAAGGCUAAAACUGUCCUCCAAGAUUCUUUCUGCAACAAAAUUGGAAUAUCAAAAAUGACUCAAAAGCUCAAUUUUUUCAAACAUGGGUAACAUAAUAUUGCCAAAAAUCUAACCUUUAUUGGAUUUUCACGACCCCAACUUUCAAUAUCCAUUACUAGACUAAUCAAGAACUUGAAAAAAAGCUCAUACUUGGCAAAAUCUUGAAAUGGCUAGUGGUUGAGCAGCACUGCCUUUAGUUGAAGAUAUUGCAACAAAAAUCCAAGAAUUAUAAAGCUUUGGCCUUAUGAGUGGACUGAGAAAUUGAGCGACCCACAGGAAAGAACAUUUAAGGGACAGACACAAAACACCAUGAGGAAAAAACAAAGAUGAAAAAAAAAGGUUGGUGGAAAUUGGAGCUAAGCUGUUUUUUGUUAAAUAGAAAAAUGAUGACAAAAAUAUAGGAGCACACCUUUUGGUUCACCUUAAAUAAUGACACUAAUCCCUGUAAGAAAGGGCAUUAUCACAUACCUAAAACAAAAUUAUGGAAUAGAAAAUUUUCAACUUUAUAUGACAAGAACCCAAAUAUAUACGUGCAGAUGCACUAAAACAAGAAAUGUGUGAGGUUUUGUUUCUUGGCUGGAGGUUCUGGUAAUGGAGUAGUGGAAUAUUUUGAGUGGGUGGGGUGGGUAUGAAAUUCACCAGUAACACGUAAGCUACAGAGGCAACUGAGUUUUGGGGUGGGGGGUG